rnacentral:rRNA from 1 species
UACAGAGGGUGCAAGCGUUAAUCGGAAUUAUUGGGCGUAAAGGGCAUGUAGGUGGCUUGUUAAGUCUGAUGUGAAAGCCCUGGGCUUAACCUGGGAAUUGCGUUGGAAACUGACGAGCUAGAGUCAGACAGAGGGCCGUGGAAUUUCCGGUGUAGCAGUGAAAUGCGUAGAGAUCGGAAAGAACACCCGUGGCGAAGGCGGCGGCCUGGGACCAGACUGACACUGAGGUGCGAAAGCAUGGGGAGCAAACAGG